rnacentral:rRNA from 1 species
AGUGAACGCUGGCGGUAGGCCUAACACAUGCAAGUCGAACGGCAGCACAGGAGAGCUUGCUCUCUGGGUGGCGAGUGGCGGACGGGUGAGGAAUACAUCGGAAGCUACCCUGUCGUGGGGGAUAACGUAGGGAAACUUACGCUAAUACCGCAUACGACCUACGGGUGAAAGCAGGGGAUCUUCGGACCUUGCGCGAUUGAAUGAGCCGAUGUCGGAUUAGGUAGUUGGCGGGGGAAAGGCCCACCAAGGCGACGAUCCGUAGCUGGUCGGAGAGGAGGAUCAGCCACACUGGAACUGAGACACGGUCCAGACUCCUACGGGAGGCAGCAGUGGGGAAUAUUGGACAAUGGGCGCAAGCCUGAUCCAGCCAUACCGCGUGGGUGAAGAAGGCCUUCGGGUUGUAAAGCCCUUUUGUUGGGAAAGAAAUCCAGCUGGCUAAUACCCGGUUGGGAUGACGGUACCCAAAGAAUAAGCACCGGCUAACUUCGUGCCAGCCGCCGCAGUAA